rnacentral:rRNA from 1 species
GUAGGUGGCAAGCGUUGUCCGGAAUUAUUGGGCGUAAAGCGGGCGCAGGCGGUUCUUUAAGUCUGAUGUGAAAGCCCACGGGCUCAACCGUGGAGGGUCAUUGGAAACUGGAGAACUUGAGUACAGAAGAGGAAAGCGGAAUUCCACGUGUAGCGGUGAAAUGCGUAGAGAUGUGGAGGAACACCAGUGGCGAAGGCGGCUUUCUGGUCUGUAACUGACGCUGAGGCGCGAAAGCGUGGGGAGCAAACAGGAUUAGAUACCCUGGUAGUCCACGCCGUAAACGAUGAGUGCUAAGUGUUAGGGGGUUUCCGCCCCUUAGUGCUGCAGCUAACGCAUUAAGCACUCCGCCUGGGGAGUACGGCCGCAAAGGCUG